UACGUUAAUAUCAUUUAUUUCCAAUCCAAAAAAAUCCUCAAAAUUAAAAUCAUAUGCAAUACUACCAAUAAUAGAAAAUUCAUUCACAUUGUCCCCCACCACAUAAUUUCUUUCCUUAAUUUCCUUCUACCCCAUUUAAUUAAUUCUCUUCAACCACAAACCUAACGCUCACAACAAAUCCCACAAAAAAUAUAUAUCCAUCUAUAAAUGGAUAUUUGCCAU
rnacentral:lncRNA from 1 species